AAAUAAGAAGCAAAUCAUUAUUGCAUUUAAUUUCGACUUAAAAAAUAGAGUAACUUACUCCUUAUUUA
rnacentral:tRNA from 1 species